GAGCACGUAGGUGGGUUUGUAAGUCAGAUGUGAAAGCCUUCUGUUCAACGGAAGAAUUGCAUCUGAAACUGCGAGUCUUGAGUGUAGGAGGGGAGAAUGGAACUUCUGGUGGAGCGGUGAAAUGCGUAGAUAUCAGAAGGAACGCCGGCGGCGAAAGCGAUUCUCUGGCCUAUUACUGACACUCAGUGUGCGAAAGCUAGGGGAGCAAACGGGAUUAAAUACCCCGGUAGUCCUAGCCGUAAACGAUGGGCACUAAGUAGAGGGGUUUU
rnacentral:rRNA from 1 species